rfam:Dipodomys ordii contig_41755, whole genome shotgun sequence.
GCUAAGGUGGCUCAGUGGUAGAGUGCUUGCCUUGCAUGCAUGGCCCAGGGUUUGAUUCCUCAGCA